CUCCACACAGAGAGGACCCCGAUCACCCGGCCGGGGAGCUGAACCCAGGCCCUCCUCGCUGUGAGGCAACAGCGCUGCCCGCCGCGCCACUGUGCCGUGCUGGUUCUGGAUGAGAACGGAGUAUCUCAUGCCUGAAACGCACCUUGGGGCUUAGCAACCUUCUUACUCUCCAUUGACCAAUCACAGGUCUGGGACGAGCGUCAGCAGUGUCCGCACGUGCCGUUUACAACCAAACAGAAGCAGAGAAAGUGUGGCGGGAACGGCCCCCCGGCAACGGCAACAACUCAGUCUGUGGGAGCAUAUGCUGUUUAUCCGUUUAAAAACACAAGGGGCUAAAAGAAAGGACAGAUGACGGCUGAGGGAGGCCAGGACAGGCCCAAACGAGGGGAAGAGAGACUGGAAAACACAGGUUUGUAUGUUAAAAUCUCUUUAUUCAUCCCUGAUACAAAAAACAAUGCUUUAUUACUCCUUUCUUUUUUGAAAAAUAGCAAGGCGCACAUGUGCGUUUUCUGUUUAUUGUCUGGAAUUCCCUCGGGAUGUGUGCAUAUAUAUAUCCGUGUUAGACGUAUUAUGCACUGUUUGGGUGCAGGAGACAGUAUUUUAACACCUAUGUAGUGCACUAUGUAGGGAACAGGGAGCCAUUUAACACUCAGCCAAGCCAUGGCUAGGCCUGGUAUGCCCUUUUUUGGCCAUCUAUUUUCUUUUCCUGUCAAGUCCCAGAUUUCAAAUAUAGUCACGCACAAACCCCACAAACCGUUAUUGCACAUCUUCAUUACCUUUAGAUCGUUCAUCAAAAAAAACAAAAACAAAACAACAACAACGACAUUAAUAACAAAAAUAAAACUCCUAUAUUGCUCUACUCGAUUUCCUUUAGAUGAUUGUUAAUAAAUACACACUUGUGAUUUACACUAGCGGAUGAAAUGAAACGGAACACAAAAAAUGCAAAACAGCGAAGGAAACUUUCGCAAAAGUCCUGUCCCAUCGUUAGGAGCCGAGAUGCUGUUACCAUGGUUACCUGACUUGACUGCGAGUGACGUCACGUCGCAGCUUCAUGUGUGAGGAAAGUGUAAGGAGUGUGGGUAGCAUGGACCUGUGUUUCCGUAUAUAUUCUCUCGCUGAGAUCACAUUCAUCUGAGAUGUUGUAGGCACUUAAGUGAGAUGAUACUGUUAAAGAAA